GCAAGACUGACAGGCUGUUUGACGUACUGGCCCUCACAGCCUGGUUGGAAAGGACAGACAGGCAGCAACCAAUUACCUAGGAGAUACGUAAAAGCAAUUUUGUGUUGAGUGUGGAGAAAGACGGCAUUUCCUGUUAGACUUGGUGACUUAGGCAGUGAUGUUGAAGCUGAGAGCAGAUGCCUAAAAGAAAAGGAGGACCUGUGCGGGAGAGUGUUGGGACAGGGCAAGGGAGGAGUAGGGCCUGUCAGAGGAGCUGAAAGCAUGCCCUGGAGACUGGGGCCGCCGCGUAGGGACUGCAGGGUGGGGAAAAGAAAACCUUUCGAUUGAGGCUGGCGCUUUCUCUAGGUUUUUGGGGACUAAGCGUGGUGAUUCAGAACGUGGCCUCUGGAGCCAGACUCUGUCACAUGGGUCCUGGCUCUGCCACCUACGGGCUGUGUGAACUCGGGCAAGUUACUGUACCAUUCUGUGUGUCAGUUUCCUGAUCUGUAAAACGGGGAUGAUUAUCAUACACACUCCAUAGGUGAGUGUAAAGGUGAGAGGAUAUUUCAUAUCCGUAAAGUACUUAGAGCAGUGUCUGGCCUUUAGCAGGCGUUAGUAGUGGUUGAUUCAAGAAAUGGCUAAAUGCAUACCUAACUAUUCAAGGCUUGGAGGCUGUCCCUGGUGAAACGUGUGAACUUGAAUGGAUUACACCCAACUUUGUUUUGUUUUGUUUCCUUUCCGGCUUGCAGUUGCUACUGACCGCAUCUGCAGCACUGUGGAAUUAGAAAUAAUCUGCCUCGACUUGGCUGCUCUUGGUAAAACAAUCUAAUGCUGUCCAAAUUAUCCCAGGGAAAUAAAAGCCUUUUCAGUAGCAUAGGAGGGUUAGGCUUAUUUAAUAUGUAUUGUUUAUAUUGGUUUGUUUAGUGUUUGUUGGUAACUUUGUGUUUUUUCUUUUUUUUUUUUUUUUUGGCAAAGCUGCUCGGUUAAGAAAAGCAGAUUAGCUAGGAAAUGGUUCAGACCCAGAGAAAAGUAGAGAGUCGUGUAAGCAGAGCACGCCUUUCCUUGACUCUCUGUCGAGAGCUUUUGUGAUUCCAGCUGCUCUCUGCCUCAGACACGGUGCCCUCUGCGUGUGCAGUCAUCUAAACAGUUCAGGUCUGGGACCGUGGAGAAUCCAAGGCGGUAUAGUCAUGCUUUGCUUAACAGUGGGGAUGAGUUCUGAUGGAGUGUGUCAUGGUCAGGCAAUCUCGAGACUUGUGCAAACACCACGGAGU
rnacentral:lncRNA from 1 species